rnacentral:rRNA from 1 species
CCUACGGGCGGCAGCAGUGAGGAAUAUUGGUCAAUGGACGGAAGUCUGAACCAGCCAUGCCGCGUGCAGGAAGACGGCUCUAUGAGUUGUAAACUGCUUUUGUACAAGGGUAAACCUGAAUACGUGUAUUCAGCUGAAAGUACUGUACGAAUAAGGAUCGGCUAACUCCGUGCCAGCAGCCGCGGUAAUACGGAGGAUCCAAGCGUUAUCCGGAGUGACUGGGUGUAAAGAGUUGCGUAGGUGGCAUAAUAAGUAGCUAGUGAAAUCUGGUGGCUCAACCAUUCAGACUAUUAGCUAAACUGUUAAGCUCGAGACCGUUAGGGGUAACUGGAAUUUCUAGUGUAGGAGUGAAAUCCGUAGAUAUUAGAAGGAACACCAAUAGCGUAGGCAGGUUACUGGGACGGUUCUGACACUAAGGCACGAAAGCGUAGGGAGCAAACGGGAUUAGAUACCCGUGUAGUC